CUGCAGCCCGAGUGGUGAUCGAUUUUAUUGAGCCUAAAGCGUCCGUAGCCGGACUAGUAAACCCUUGGGUAAAUUGGGCAGCUUAACUGUCCAAAUUCCGAGGGGACUGCUAGUCUUGGGACCGGGAGAGGUCAGAGGUACUCAAGGGGUAGGGGCUAAAUCCUGUAAUCCUUUGGGGACCACCAGUGGCGAAGGCGUCUGACUAGAACGGAUCCGACGGUAAGGGACGAAACCCUGGGGCGCGAACCGGAUUAGAUACCCGAGUAGUC
rnacentral:rRNA from 1 species